UACGUAGGGGGCAAGCGUUGUUCGGAAUUACUGGCGUAAAGGGCGCGUAGGCGGCAGGCCAAGUCGGGAGUGAAAGCCCGGGGCUCAACCCCGGAAUGUCUUCGAACUGGCCAGCUUGAGUGCGGAAGAGGCAACUGGAAUUCCCAGUGUAGCGGUGAAAUGUGUAGAGAUCGGGAGGAACGACCGGUGGCGAAGGCGGGGUCU
rnacentral:rRNA from 1 species